GACAGAGGGGGCAAGCGUUGCUCGGAAUUACUGGGCGUAAAGCGUGCGCAGGCGGUUUUGUAAGCCAGAUGUGAAAUCCCCGGGCUUAACCUGGGAAUGGCAUUUGGGACUGCAAGGCUGGAGUGUGGCAGAGGAGACUGGAAUUCCUGGUGUAGCAGUGAAAUGCGUAGAUAUCAGGAGGAAUACCGAUGGCGAAGGCAGGUCUCUGGGCUGACACUGACGCUCAUGCACGAAAGCGUGGGGAGCAAACAGG
rnacentral:rRNA from 1 species